rnacentral:rRNA from 1 species
GACGAACGCUGGCGGCGUGCCUAAUACAUGCAAGUCGAACGCAGUGGGGACGGGUGAGUAAAAAGUGGGUAACCUCCCAUAAGAGGAGAUAACACUUGGAAACAGCUGCUAAACCGAUACUGAUGGAUGGACCAGCGGUGAAUUAGCUAGUUGGUGGGGUAACGGCUCACCAAGGCAACGAUGCAUAGCCGACCGGAGAGGGUGACCGGCCACACUGGGACUGAGACACGGCCCAGACUCCUACGGGAGGCAGCAGUAGGGAAUCGUCGGCAAUGGGCGAAAGUCUGACCCAGCAAUGCCGCGUGAGUGAAGAAGGGUUUCGGAUCGUAAAACACUUUUGGUAGAGAAGCGUUAUCUACCCAGAAAGCCACCGCUAACUCCGUGCCAGCAGCCGCGGUAAUAC